AUGGAUAUUGAUCACGGCAGAGAGAGCGACGGCGAGAUGGUGGGCACCAUCGCCAGCUGCGGGCUGCUGCUCCACUCGCUUCUCGCCGGGCUCGGGCGUCGCGCCGCCGGGUUCGCCCGGAAGGUGGGCGGCGCCGCGCGGGAGGACCCGAGGCGGGUGGCGCACUCGCUCAAAGUCGGCCUGGCGCUCGCGCUGGUGUCCGUCGUCUACUUCGUCACGCCGCUCUUCAACGGCCUCGGGGUGUCCGCGAUAUGGGCCGUGCUCACCGUCGUCGUCGUCAUGGAGUACACCGUCGGUGCCACGCUGAGUAAAGGCUUGAACAGAGCCUUGGCGACGUUGGUGGCUGGCUGCAUCGCCGUCGGAGCUCAUCAGUUAGCUGAAUUAGCUGAACGCUGUGGUGAUCAGGGAGAGCCCAUAGUGCUCACCGUGCUCGUCUUCUUCGUAGCGUCAGCGGCGACGUUCUUGCGCUUCAUCCCGGAGAUCAAGGCCAAGUACGACUACGGCGUGACCAUCUUCAUACUGACCUUCGGUCUGGUGGCCGUGUCGAGCUACAGAGUGGAGGAGCUCAUCCAGCUCGCGCACCAGCGGUUCUACACCAUAGCCGUCGGCGUCUUCAUCUGCCUCUGCACCACCGUCUUCCUCUUCCCCGUCUGGGCCGGAGAGGACGUCCACAAGCUCGCCUCCGGCAACCUCGACAAACUCGCUCAGUUCAUUGAAGGUAACGCAUCACGUACGCCAGGAAUGGAAUUCAACUGCUUUGGCGAAAACAGUGUUGCAAAUAAUUUUGGGGGAAAGGAUUCCCCCCAAAUGCACAAGAGCGUCCUUAAUUCGAAGGCCACUGAGGACUCUUUGUGCACCUUUGCCAAAUGGGAGCCUCGUCAUGGCCAGUUCAGAUUUCGACACCCAUGGAGCCAAUACCAGAAGCUGGGAACUCUUUGUCGCCAAUGUGCGUCUUCUAUGGAGGCUCUUGCUUCAUAUGUCAUCACAACCUCAAAAACCCAGUGCCCUGCUGCAGCCAACCCUGAGCUAUCAUGUAAGGUUCGAAAAACAUGUGGCGAAAUGAGCUUGCAUUCCUCCAAGGUGCUUAGGGAUCUCGCAAUGGCAACUCGAACAAUGACUGUGCCGUCUCCAGUGAAUAUCACCAUGGCUACAGCCGUGAAAGCAGCGGAAAGCCUCAGAAGCGAGCUUGCAGAGAACACGGCUCUGUUGCAAGUGAUGCAUGUGGCCGUCACCGCAACACUUCUUGCGGACUUGGUUGAUAGGGUGAAGGAAAUCGCGGAAUGUGUUGAUGUCCUAGCAAGACUGGCGCACUUUAAGAACCCCGAGGACACAAAAAAUGUCGUUGUCAGUACCGUGAGUCGAGGGAUAGACGAACCUUUGCCUGACGUGGUUAUUUUGUAA
rnacentral:rRNA from 1 species